GAACAGGCACGGGGUUGCCGGGAAUGCAGCCGCGCCAUAGCCAGAGGAAUUGGGUCCUGCUUUGUUUGGAAACCCACCAAGAACGUUGCCCCGCCUGCGAAAUCCGGGCCCCUGUCAGCGGGGACUGGGGGGAGUCAGGUUGCAUUUAGGGGCUGUGACAGUCCAGGGACUCCGCGCCUGGGCACACCCCUGCCCACCCUCCUUCUGGGGGACAUGGGCCAGCAUUCACACACUGAAAUGUGCAUCAUUUUGUAAGUUCCUUUUCUUUCUUGCUCUUUUACAAUAUAGCUGGAGAUUUGUGUUGAUUUUUUAAAAUUCUGUGUGUAGGCCGGUGAUAUUACCUGCGAAUUCACUUCAGGAGGCUAAAAGGGUCUGUUACAAAUGUCACUUUAAUUUUUUAAUGUUUCCUUAUUUUUGAGAGAGACACAGAGACAGAGCAUGAGUGGGGGAAGGGCAGAGAGAGGGAGGCACAGAAUCGGAAGCAGGCUCCAGGCUCCGAGCCGUCUGCACAGAGCCCAACGCGGGGCUCGAACCCAUGAACCGUGAGAUCAUGACCUGAGCUGAAGUCGGACGCUUGACCGACUGAGCCCUCCAGGCGCCCCUGUAAAUGUUACUCUGAAAGGGUGGGAGUCAAGAGAGGGUAGAGACUCAUGAUCACUCACCCGUUUUAUGGGUGGGGAAACUGAGACCGGGUGAGAGGGUAGAGACCAGGUCCAACCCAUGCCCUUCUCAGCUCCUGGGAACAGCCCUUUGUGAGCUCAGGCAGGUGUACAUUCUGACCCUCAGGCCUGUUUUCUCAUCCUCCAAAAGGGACCAGGAUUGAGGAGAGCUAACGUGAGUCCGGUGCCCUGCAGAAUCCCCAGCACAUGGUAGGGGUGUGGAAGGGAUUCCCAGGCCAAGCCCUUUGCUGCCCCAAGGAGCCCAGCCCUGCUCCAGGAUGCAGGCCAGGGCCAGAACAGAGGUAAGAGAAGAGAGGAAAAAGGGGCUCCCGGGCCUGUGGCUUGGCUUCAGGCGUUUCUUCCAGUGCACUUCCCCACCCCCACCCCCCACUCCCCUCCAGCCACACUGACCUUCACAGUGUUCCUGAAGCCAUCCGGCAGACCUCUGCCCCAGGGCCUUUGCACUUGCUGGUCACACCCUCUAGAGCACAGCUAGUUUGCCUCCUUUCCAGCUUCAUUUCCGCUAUCCCCUCAGCCACCUGCUUUCUUCCAUCUGUUUCUUGACGUUAAUCCCACAAGCUUGCUCCAAACCCAACGCCUCUGCACUCCCCGUUCCUGCCACUUUGAACACCUAUCCCUGCAGAGCCAGCUUCGUUGUCUCUCCAGAGAAACCAGCCCUCAUUCCCACGUUGCCUUGUGGCCUACUUUGUCUUGGCAUUUACCGUUUCACUCAUGACACCAUCUGGUACUUGGCUUAGGACUUUCUCACCAGUGCCCCAGCAGUCGGGGAGGGUGUGUUGGGGCAGCCGCGGCCGAGUCCCCAGCACUUGAAUGGGACACAAAGGCACGAGGGGGCCAGUGGACCCCCUUGGAGCCCUCCACGGGGGGAGCAAUACCUGCCUUACUCAGGACUCCCCUCCAACCUGAGGCCAUUCGUCGCCGAGCCUCAAAUGAACCCUGCCUCUCAGGGCCGACCAGCGGGGAAAGCAAAAAGGAAAACAGUGCAGACACACGGAGUUGUACAGCACAGGGCUGGAGAGGGCUUCUCGCAUGGCUGAGAUGACAUGACUAAGGCUGGGCAAAAGCGGGGGCAUUGAAAGGCUGGACCCCAGUGUCCCCACGCCCUGGCCCAGCUUUCUGUCUCCAGGAAUCUAUCCUCAAAAAACAAAACAAGUCAGGGGCGCCUGGGGUGAAGAGAGCCGCUGUCAUUUUCAAAAUCCACAGGUGGGAAACAAUCCAGCUGUCCAACCCCAGGGGAUCUGCUACAUAAUGAAUCAUGAUCCAUGUGGGCUUAUGGAGACCGUGUGACACGGGGCAACAGCAGCGGCCUCGGGUGGGCCACGUGGCUUCACCAGGGCGGUCGGCGUUUGCCUCUGGAUGUCCGGUGUCUUUUCUCCCGUGUAUAUUUUUCCGUACUGUCCAGACUUCACACAACAAACACAAACACACGUUUGAAAUAAGUGCCGAGCCCCUUCUUGUCUCCUCCCCCCCCCCCACCGUCCCCACAAUGACACAAGUCACAGAGCCUCCAGGAGCCCCAGAAGGGUUAGUAUUAGCAAAGUUUUAUUUCAACGUCUUUUCUGCUCAUAAAUGAUUCUGGAAAAGCAGAUAUGCAAGAGGCUCACCCACCCUCGUCUAAAGGCAACACUGAGGUCACUGAGAACGCUGCUCAGACAAACUCCCCUAUGCUGGGGCGCAGGCAGCAGGACGGGCGGGUUUGGGGCAGAGGAAUAAAUAAACAUCGUCUCAGCUCUGCCAUCAGGGCUGGGGGCCCAGGGCCCAGAGACAGCCCAUGAGACUGCUGGGCCGACAGCUUGGAACUCCCAAAGCUGCCCGAACGUUAAGGUGUGUUGCAGAAAAUGCCGAGGCUUCCGGAGGGCCCGCGUGUCCCCGGGAGGAGCCCUGGGCCGGUGGGCCAGUCUCCUCCUCCUGCUCCAGCCCCGGGAGAGCCCAGCUCCCUGCCGGCGGGGCCUGCCUGGGCGCUGGAGCGGGGGCAGACUCUCAUCCCCACAGUCCCUGCCGAGAGCACUUUUUGGCAUUACCUGUUAUGUAGUGUCAGGUGGCUGUGACCCAGAGCAGGUAGUGAGGCGUGGCAGGUGAGGGUCCCGAGCCGGUGGCUGGGGGGGGGGGGGGGGGGGGGGGUCCCUGGCACCUGCAGCUCUGGGCUGCCCGUACCACCUGUGUUUGCUUCCAGACUGCGGUCUGCUCUGGGAGGGGUGGGUGGAUCGCAGUGCUGGAAGCCUUGGCCUAGUAGUGUGUGGGUGGGUGGGGUGGAGGCAGGGCGGGGCCAGGGCUGAGCAUCACGGUUAAGAACUGAAGAGGGCCAGAUGGUGGCUGGAGGUGGCCUGCCUGUAACAGAACCCUGCUCCCAAAGGGGUCCCUCGGGGGAACCAGCCCAGCGGGGUCACCACCGCAGCUCAGGCAGGGCGGGCUGCACCCAGGGCCGCAGCGGGAGAUGUGGCAGG